ACUACUACAAACAAACAUAGAAACUACAGAUACAGAUCUGAAAAUUCUUAUACAGAAACCAUACUGAUGAAACCGUCCGUUUCCUGAGUUGAAGAAAAUCAAGAUGGAGGGCAAGAAAAGGCACAGCAGCGACACUCCACUCAUCUGUAUUUGCUCUGCAAAAGGAGAGCUAUUCUUCCUCGCCAUCUUAACAUUUUUCGACUCAACAGACAGGUGGCUUUCUCUAGCGAAUGUCCGGACCAUGGUCAGAUUUGUUUAUAUGACCGUGAUAAAAACAUUUCGAAGCAAAAGCAAGUGCCAUCAUGAUAAAAGAUUUGAAGGUUAAAUAUAACGUCCAAAAAUCAUGUCAAGUAAAUCAUUAUGUUUAAUGUAUUUUUUCAUAUACAUUACAUAGAAAAAUACUAUACUCUAUAAAAAGUUGUAAUAAAUAUAAUGAAAAUAGAACAAUAUUUACUAGAUUCAAUUUUGAAAAUUGAUAUCUGUUGAUGCUGAUAUUAUAUUUAUAAUAAUACUCAUGGAAAGAAUUUAUAAGUUAUAUUUCCAACACUAUGUUGUUAUGUCUUAUCUUGACCCGGAAAUGGUUAACGUUUUAAAUUAUUAUAAUAAAUUUAUUAUUAUAUUAUUAUAAAAUUAUUAUAAUAAAAUUAUUUAAU
rnacentral:misc_RNA from 1 species